rnacentral:rRNA from 1 species
UACAGAGGUCCCAAGCGUUGUUCGGAUUCACUGGGCGUAAAGGGUGCGCAGGUGGGUUGGCAAGUUUGAUGUGAAAGCCCCGGGCUUAACCCGGGAAUGGCAUUGAAUACUGCUGAUCUGGAGGAUUGGAGGGGGGACUGGAAUUCUUGGUGUAGCAGUGAAAUGCGUAGAUAUCAAGAGGAACACCAGUGGCGAAGGCGGCUCUCUGGGACGGUACUGACGCUGAGACGCGAAAGCGUGGGGAGCGAACAGG